rnacentral:SRP_RNA from 1 species
GCCGGGCGUGGUGGCGCAUGCCUGUAAUCCCAGCUACUUGGGAGGCUGAGGCAGGAGAAUUGCUUGAACCCAGGAGGCUGAGGUUGCAGUGAGCUGAGAUCGCGCCACUGCACUCCAGCCUGGGUGACAGAGGGAGACUCUGUCUCAA